rnacentral:tRNA from 1 species
GUCUCUGAGGCGCAAUCGGUAAGUGCGUUCGGCUGUUAACUAAAAGGUUGGUGGUUCAAGCCCACCCAGGGACG